GUUUUUACAUUUUACAGCGGUGGACUUCUUUUUACACUGGCGGGACAAAUAAUGAUUUAAAAAAUGGUUACUGCCCUCAUCACUAAAUAGUAUGAAAGCUGUUAUAGGUCGAGCCUGGCCCUUUAAGAAGAAUUGCAUUGUGGGAAGUUGAGUGUCUGUCUCUUCCCUCUCUCGUCUGUCUGUACCACUCAUUGUUUUCUGCGUCCUGAUUGGCUGACCAUUGUCAAUCAAUCUCCUUCCGGCAGCCUUGCCAUGUCUCCCGUGUCAUCGAUAGCUUGCUUGCUUGCUAGCUUGUAAAUGAAUCAUCGGUUCGAAGGAGGAGGACUGCUGCACAUGACUGCCCUCUAUAGCCCACACACGGAACAGCAGAUCACGGGUGUUCUCAAGGGGACCCGCUUUGAAGACGUAGACGACAUCAUGAUGGCCGUGACGACGGCGCUGCCCACAAUCCCAGAAGAAUCCUUCCAGGAGUGAAUGAAGG